GCCAGGACUCAUUCUGCCACAACACUGCUGACAAGCAGGGAGUCGGAGAGAAUUCCCCAACUAACAGAGUAGCUGGCAAAAUGAAAAAUGUGCAGUGAUUUAUGUUCUGAAAUAUUCAUGCAUUUGUCCCUUUCAAAUGACGGUGAUAAAUAAUGACACAUCUGAAGUACACAUACAUGAUAAUGCUAUUUUUGAAGGGUGGAUUUUACAAUUAUCUACAGAUACAAAACAGAAGUGAGAAUCUUGGAAAAAGGGCAACAAAGACGGAUGUUUGAGCUCAGCCUGUUCUCUAUGUGCAUACGUCUGCUCACGUGGCAAGCAAAGUGGGACAGGAUCCACACAGAACAGCAGGUCUAAGAUUGAUGACGUCUCCACCGUUAAGUGUACUUGAACUCUGACUCAAGUGACUGCUGCCAGAUGUAUUGAAGACACCUGUAUAGUUUGAGGGAAAACAGAGACCGACUUUGAGACAACUCAGAGUUACCUGAAGCAUUCAGAUUGUUAGGAAAAACAAAGUAUUUUCAAGUAUUUACAAUUGUUUUCAUUUUAUUGUAGUAAAAUACAAACAAAAAAAUUUA